rnacentral:rRNA from 1 species
UCCUACGGGGUGCAGCAGGCGAGAAAACUUUGCAAUGUGCGAAAGCACGACAAGGUUAAUCCGAGUGGUUUCUGCUAAAGGAACCUUUUGUCAGUCCUAGAAACACUGAUGAAUAAGGGGUGGGCAGGUUCUGGUGUCAGCCGCCGCGGUAAAACCAGCACCUCAAGUGGUCAGGAUGAUUAUUGGGCCUAAAGCAUCCGUAGCCGGCUCUGUAAGUUUUCGGUUAAAUCUGUACGCUCAACGUACAGGCUGCCGGGAAUACUGCAGAGCUAGGGAGUGGGAGAGGUAGACGGUACUCGGUAGGAAGGGGUAAAAUCCUUUGAUCUAUUGAUGACCACCUGUGGCGAAGGCGGUCUACCAGAACACGUCCGACGGUGAGGGAUGAAAGCUGGGGGAGCAAACCGGAUUAGAUACCCGGGUAGUCCCAGCUGUAAACUAUGCAAACUCAGUGAUGCAUUGGCUUGUGGCCAAUGCAGUGCUGCAGGGAAGCCGUUAAGUUUGCCGCCUGGGAAGUACGUACGCAAGUAUGAAACUUAAAGGAAUUGGCGGGGGAGCACCACAAGGGGUGAAGCCUGCGGUUCAAUUGGAGUCAACGCCAGAAAUCUUACCCGGAGAGACAGCAGAAUGAAGGUCAAGCUGAAGACUUUACCAGACAAGCUGAGAGGUAGUGCAUGGCC